CACCUCCCGUUGCCUACCGCAUCUUCGCCCAGCUCCUUCUCCAGCCCCGUGCCGACCCACAGCAGCCAUGGUGGCUGACCAAGAGGAGGAAACCCUCCUGUGCUGCUCCGCCUCCCAGCGUGGGGAUUGUUUCAUACGGGCGGACGUUCCACGGACCCUAGCUUUCUUUCCCAUGGAUUCAUAGCGCAGCACCCCUCCCCUUCUCCUCCAUCCUCUCUCGUCAGCAGCCGUCCCCAUAUUCCACCUCCAUCGUCUCUGUCCGACGCUGAGCAGCGGCUCACCCCACAGCCCCUUCUCCACCCACGACCAAUGGUUGGGGAGGCGGGGUCUUUUCGCUGGGGUGGAGCAGGGGAGGCCCAGGAGGCCAGCGGUGGGGGAGCAGCGACGCCGGCCUGCUGGGAUGGUGCAGCGAGGCGCCGUGGUUGUGAAGCAUCACUAUAAUCCCGACUCACUCAACUGGUGUAUGGGGCCGUGGCUGGGACGUUGGCCCUCGGCACAAACUUGACGCCGAGUCUAGCUUAGGAGCUCCGGGAACAGUUCAAUCGAGGGGAGCUCUAGGAAUGACCCAAAACAAGGAUGAGACGGCCAACUAGAGAGGAAGAAUAAGUUUAGCUAAGAGUGGAAGAAGACCGAGGUGAAAUUUCUGCAGUUAGAUACCACAAGAGGAGGUGCAGAUAGAUGAUGUAGUAUUUAGGCGGCGAACCCAACAUCCCAACCUUUUGUAAGCAGGUGCCUGUCAUGGUUACUGUGACGGAGGCAUAUUUAAGAAUGAUGCUGAUCCCUGAAUGCCCUUGAUGCUCGCCAAGGGUGUGUUUGUUUGGGCUACAAUUUCCAUGGCUGCAGCUGAAGGAGCGGCUGUAGCUGGUGAUGAAGAGAGGCACUUCGCAUUUGCCCACAAGAAGUACAGAGAGGCUUCAAAGCAUGGAGAGGCACUUCGCAUUUUCUUGACAACUUUCAGAGAAGAACAAGUACUGUUAGUCAUUCUCUGACAUGUAUAAUACAAUUCUGGAGAUGUGAAUGGAUGUAUUCAUUUAGUAGAGUAUUAGUAGAUGAUGAUUUAUUUUCUUUGCUGUCAACUGGUGUAUAUCCUGAUAUGUUUAGUCUGUUCCGAAAUUAAUUUGUAGAGUAGUCUGAACAAUUGUACAGUCUCUCAGUGUAUUAGUACUCUGUUUUUUUGGGCAGCCGGAAGAAAUCAGUUUCUCAUGACAUGCGAAAAUGAGUUUAUUUACCUUCACUAUUGCUUUUAUUGGCUAACAAAGAUGUUUGUGAAAUAGUUAGUUAGGCAUCACAGUGAAGCUUGGCAA